rnacentral:rRNA from 1 species
GAUGAACGCUAGCUACAGGCUUAACACAUGCAAGUCGCGGGGCAGCAUGUUGGUUGCUUGCAACCGAUGAUGGCGACCGGCGCACGGGUGAGUAACGCGUAUCCAACCUACCUAUUACCACGGGAUAGCCCGGCGAAAGUCGGACUAAUACCGUAUGUUGUCCUCCAAUGGCAUCAGCAGUGGACUAAAGGUUUAGCGGUAAUCGAUGGGGAUGCGUCCGAUUAGCUAGUUGGUGAGGUAAUGGCUCCCCAAGGCUUCGAUCGGUAGGGGUUCUGAGAGGAAGGUCCCCCACACUGGAACUGAGACACGGUCCAGACUCCUACGGGAGGCAGCAGUGAGGAAUAUUGGUCAAUGGACGAGAGUCUGAACCAGCCAAGUAGCGUGCAGGAUGACUGCCCUAUGGGUUGUAAACUGCUUUUAUGCGGGGAUAAAGUGAGUUACGNGUAACUUAUNGCAGGUNCCGC